rnacentral:rRNA from 1 species
GAAUUGCAGAAUUCCGUGAAUCAUCGAGUUUUUGAACGCAAGUUGCGCCCGAGGCUCGUCCAAGGGCAUGUCUGCCUGAGCGUCCG